GCAGUGUAGUGGUGAGCACAUCGGUUUUUGAGAAGGAUCUCUGGUCAUGCCUGUAUCCUAAAAUACCGAUAACCCCGGUUCGAACCCGGGUACG